rnacentral:rRNA from 1 species
AAGACCUUGCACUUUUGGAGCGGCCGAUGUCUGAUUAGCUAGUUGGUGGGGUAAUGGCCUACCAAAGCUUCGAUCAGUAGCUGGUCUGAGAGGACGGCCAGCCACACUGGGACUGAGACACGGCCCAGACUCCUACGGGAGGCAGCAGUGGGGAAUUUUGGACAAUGGGGGCAACCCUGAUCCAGCCAUGCCGCGUGAGUGAAGAAGGCCUUCGGGUUGUAAAGCUCUUUCAGCCGGGAAGAAAAGGUUGCGACUAAUAAUCGCAAUCCAUGACGGUACCGAAAGAAGAAGCACCGGCUAACUACGUGCCAGCAGCCGCGGUAAUACGUAGGGUGCGAGCGUUAAUCGGAAUUACUGGGCGUAAAGGGUGCGCAGGCGGUCUUGUAAGUCAGAUGUGAAAUCCCCGGGCUUAACCUGGGAACU